GCCCGGUUAGCUCAAUCGGUAGAGCGUGAGACUCUUAAUCUCAAGGUUGCGGGUAAGUUAUUCUUUGCUCAUCCGGGG